rnacentral:rRNA from 1 species
AAAUUGAACUCGCUGUGAAGAUGCAGUGUACCCGCGGCAAGACGGAAAGACCCCGUGAACCUUUACUAUAGCUUGACACUGAACAUUGAGCCUUGAUGUGUAGGAUAGGGGGGAGGCUUUGAAGCGUGGACGCCAGUCUGCGUGGAGCCAACCUUGAAAUACCACCCUUUAAUGUUUGAUGUUCUAACGUUGGCCCCUGACCGGGGUUGCGGACAGUGUCUGGUGGGUAGUUUGACUGGGGCGGUCUCCUCCCAAAGCGUAACGGAGGAGCACGAAGGUUAGCUAAUCCUGGUCGGACAUCAGGAGGUUAGUGCAAUGGCAUAAGCUAGCUUGACUGCGAGCGUGACGGCGCGAGCAGGUGCGAAAGCAGGUCAUAGUGAUCCGGUGGUUCUGAAUGGAAGGGCCAUCGCUCAACGGAUAAAAGGUACUCCGGGGAUAACAGGCUGAUACCGCCCAAGAGUUCAUAUCGACGGCGGUGUUUGGCACCUCGAUGUCGGCUCAUCACAUCCUGGGGCUGAAGUAGGUCC